UACGUAGGUGGCAAGCGUUGUCCGGAAUUACUGGGUGUAAAGGGCGUGUAGGCGGGACUGCAAGUCAGAUGUGAAAUUCCCAGGCUCAACCUGGGGGCUGCAUCUGAAACUGUGGUUCUUGAGUGCUGGAGAGGAAAGCGGAAUUCCUAGUGUAGCGGUGAAAUGCGUAGAUAUUAGGAGGAACCCCAGCGGCGAAGGCGGCUUUCUGGACAGUAACUGACGUUGAGGUGCGAAAGCGUGGGGAGCAAACAGG
rnacentral:rRNA from 1 species